rnacentral:rRNA from 1 species
CCUACGGGUGGCAGCAGUGAGGAAUAUUGGUCAAUGGGCGGAAGCCUGAACCAGCCAAGUAGCGUGCAGGAUGACGGCCCUACGGGUUGUAAACUGCUUUUAUACGGGAAUAACGCGCCUUACGUGUAGGGCUUUGCAUGUACCGUAUGAAUAAGGACCGGCUAAUUCCGUGCCAGCAGCCGCGGUAAUACGGAGGAGGCGAGCGUUAUCCGGAUUUAUUGGGUUUAAAGGGUGCGUAGGCGGACUGGAAAGUCAGCGGUAAAAUCGAGAGGCUCAACCUCUUUCCGCCGUUGAAACUGUCGGGCUUGAGUGGGCGAGAAGUAUGCGGAAUGCGUGGUGGAGCGGUGAAAUGCAUAGAUAUCACGCAGAACUCCGAUUGCGAAGGCAGCAUACCGGCGCCCGACUGACGCUGAGGCACGAAAGCGUGGGUAUCGAACAGGAUUAGAUACCCCUGUAGUC